rnacentral:rRNA from 1 species
GGUUGCGAUCAUACCAACACUAAUGCACCGGAUUCCAUCAGAUCUCCGUAGUUAAGCGUGCUUGGGCGAGAGUAGUACUAGGAUGGGUGACCCCUGGGAAGUCCUCGUGUUGCAACUAC